rnacentral:rRNA from 1 species
UACGAAGGGGGCUAGCGUUGCUCGGAAUCACUGGGCGUAAAGGGUGCGUAGGCGGGUCUUUAAGUGAGGGGUGAAAUCCUGGAGCUCAACUCCAGAACUGCCUUUGAUACUGAGGAUCUUGAGUUCGGGAGAGGUGAGUGGAACUGCGAGUGUAGAGGUGAAAUUCGUAGAUAUUCGCAAGAACACCAGUGGCGAAGGCGGCUCACUGGCCCGAUACUGACGCUGAGGCACGAAAGCGUGGGGAGCAAACAGG